GACUAUACUUCAGAGUUUGAUCCUGGCUCAGGACGAACGCUGGCGGCGUGCCUAAUACAUGCAAGUCGAGCGAAGAGUUAAUGGUGCUUGCACCAAUAACACUUAGCGGCGAACGGGUGAGUAACACGUAAAGAACCUGCCUCAUAGACUGGGACAACUACUGGAAACGGUAGCUAAUACCGGAUAAUAUUUAAAAUCGCAUGGAGAUAAAUUAAAAGUCGGUGCAAGCUGACACUAUGAGAUGGCUUUGCGGUGCAUUAGCUAGUUGGUGAGGUAACGGCCCACCAAGGCAAUGAUGGGUAGCCGGCCUGAGAGGGUGAACGGCCACAAGGGGACUGAGACACGGCCCUU
rnacentral:rRNA from 1 species